CGCGUUUGGGGAGAAGCGACAGGUCAGCUCGGCCUCUGAGCCCAGUAGGGCCACCACUGCCUCCUGAGGUGCGAUCACAUCGAAGGGAGCUGCCAGAAUAAAUAAGACUGGAUCCCACAGAUUCCAAGCUGACCUCCAGCUCACCGUGUAGCCUGGAUUCUCUUGCCCUCAACUCUCAACGAGCAUUGCAGGUGUGCACCACCACACCCAGCGUCCCAGUUCCUUUGAUUUAAAACAACAACAAUAACAAAAGCAAAAAACCUGGGGUCUCCCUAUGGUAGCCCCAGCUGGUCAGACUAUCUCUGUGCAGACCAGGCAGGUUUGAAUCCAUAAAGAUCUGCUUUUGUCCUCUUAGUGCUGGAACUGCAGGCAUGCACUACCACCAGGGUGCAUUUUCGUUGAAUCCACUGAACUCUGGUGGAGGUCCCCAACUGGAGCCACACUGGGUCACUGACAUUUACAGGGACCUUUCAUCCUUGCAUCAAAGAGAUGACUAGAACACAGACAUACCUGAAUCCAGCGUGGGCAGCUGCAGGACCAUGAAGGUGAGCAGAUAAGCUAAGAGGCAGGAAUUGGGGGGAACUGCCAUCUCCAACCUUGCUGGGGCAACAGGCUGCUGAUGGAGUCGUCAGGAGCUUCAGGCUGGGAGAUAAAUGGUCAUGCGGUAACUAUUGGCUCUGCAAGGGCCCUGCUCUCCACCAGUUCUUUCCAACCUGGAGCGCACUGUACCUCCCCCAAACGGUAAUUUUUCAGUCCAUGUUACAAGAGUGCCCAUCCACACCCUUCUCUAAGUCCAGUCAGGCAUGCAUAAAGUAGCAAACUCAGUCGUCCAGUCCUCAGUUGUCUCCAGAAGGGGGGUUCUGAGACAGUUUCAGAUAAAUGAAGAAAUGGCGAAAUCUCUUCAUUUACAAGUAGGAGGAGGAGGAGGAGAAGAAGAAGAAAUAGAAUCAAAUCAUAUUGAGUAGAACAUUUCGUUAUCCAUGCUUAGAAAUGAUAAUAAAGAUAAAGCCAUGGAGGUAGACAUGGAUAACAUGAAAUGAAAUGAAGGAGGAGAGAGAAAAUAUGGGAAGGGGUGUUUCACACCUGUAAGCUCAGCACCUGGAGGAUCUCCGUGAGUUACAUAGUGAGCUACAGUCCUGCCUAUCUAAAGAGAAGAGGGGGGCAGCGCUGAGGAGCGUGAGGAGCAGAAAGCCCAGCCCAGAGAAGCUGGACAAAGACAGCUGUGUUGUUCUGUGGCUCGCUGAGCCGAGAGUGAAGCACCUACCCACUUCAGUG